rnacentral:rRNA from 1 species
GUGGGGAAUAUUGGACAAUGGGCGAAAGCCUGAUCCAGCCAUGCCGCGUGUGUGAAGAAGGCCUUCGGGUCGUAAAGCACUUUAAGUUGGGAGGAAGGGCUCAUAGCGAAUACCUGUGAGUUUUGACGUUACCAACAGAAUAAGCACCGGCUAACUUCGUGCCAGCAGCCGCGGUAAUACGAAGGGUGCAAGCGUUAAUCGGAAUUACUGGGCGUAAAGCGCGCGUAGGUGGCUUGAUAAGUUGGAUGUGAAAUCCCCGGGCUCAACCUGGGAACUGCAUCCAAAACUGUCUGGCUAGAGUGCGGUAGAGGGUAGUGGAAUUUCCAGUGUAGCGGUGAAAUGCGUAGAUAUUGGAAGGAACACCAGUGGCGAAGGCGACUACCUGGACUGACACUGACACUGAGGUGCGAAAGCGUGGGGAGCAAACAGGAUUAGAAACCCUUGUAGUCC